rnacentral:rRNA from 1 species
GACGAACGCUGGCGGCGUGCCUAAUACAUGCAAGUAGAACGCACAGUUUAUACCGUAGCUUGCUACACCAUAAACUGUGAGUUGCGAACGGGUGAGUAACGCGUAGGUAACCUGCCUGGUAGCGGGGGAUAACUAUUGGAAACGAUAGCUAAUACCGCAUAAUAUUAAUUAUUGCAUGAUAAUUGAUUUAAAGAUGCAAUUGCAUCACUACCAGAUGGACCUGCGUUGUAUUAGCUAGUAGGUGAGGUAACGGCUCACCUAGGCGACGAUACAUAGCCGACCUGAGAGGGUGAUCGGCCACACUGGGACUGAGACACGGCCCAGACUCCUACGGGAGGCAGCAGUAGGGAAUCUUCGUCAAUGGACGAAAGUCUGACCGAGCAACGCCGCGUGAGUGAAGAAGGUUUUCGGAUCGUAAAGCUCUGUUGUAAGAGAAGAACGGGUGUGAGAGUGGAAAGUUCACACUGUGACGGUAGCUUACCAGAAAGGGACGGCUAACUACGUG